rnacentral:rRNA from 1 species
UACGGAAGGUCCGGGCGUUAUCCGGAUUUAUUGGGUUUAAAGGGAGCGUAGGCCGGAGAUUAAGCGUGUUGUGAAAUGUAGUUGCUCAACAUCUGCACUGCAGCGCGAACUGGUUUCCUUGAGUACGCACAAAGUGGGCGGAAUUCGUGGUGUAGCGGUGAAAUGCUUAGAUAUCACGAAGAACUCCGAUUGCGAAGGCAGCUCACUGGAGCGCAACUGACGCUGAAGCUCGAAAGUGCGGGUAUCGAACAGG